CCUGGCUCAGGAUGAACGCUAGCUACAGGCUUAACACAUGCAAGUCGAGGGGCAGCAUGGUCUUAGCUUGCUAAGGCCGAUGGCGACCGGCGCACGGGUGAGUAACACGUAUCCAACCUGCCGUCUACUCUUGGACAGCCUUCUGAAAGGAAGAUUAAUACAAGAUGGCAUCAUGAGUCCGCAUGUUCACAUGAUUAAAGGUAUUCCGGUAGACGAUGGGGAUGCGUUCCAUUAGAUAGUAGGCGGGGUAACGGCCCACCUAGUCUUCGAUGGAUAGGGGUUCUGAGAGGAAGGUCCCCCACAUUGGAACUGAGACACGGUCCAAACUCCUACGGGAGGCAGCAGUGAGGAAUAUUGGUCAAUGGGCGAGAGCCUGAACCAGCCAAGUAGCGUGAAGGAUGACUGCCCUAUGGGUUGUAAACUUCUUUUAUAAAGGAAUAAAGUCGGGUAUGGAUACCCGUUUGCAUGUACUUUAUGAAUAAGGAUCGGCUAACUCCGUGCCAGCAGCCGCGGUAAUACGGAGGAUCCGAGCGUUAUCCGGAUUUAUUGGGUUUAAAGGGAGCGUAGAUGGAUGUUUAAGUCAGUUGUGAAAGUUUGCGGCUCAACCGUAAAAUUGCAGUUGAUACUGGAUAUCUUGAGUGCAGUUGAGGCAGGCGGAAUUCGUGGUGUAGCGGUGAAAUGCUUAGAUAUCACGAAGAACUCCGAUUGCGAAGGCAGCCUGCUAAGCUGCAACUGACAUUGAGGCUCGAAAGUGUGGGUAUCAAACAGGAUUAGAUACCCUGGUAGUCCACACGGUAAACGAUGAAUACUCGCUGUUUGCGAUAUACUGCAAGCGGCCAAGCGAAAGCGUUAAGUAUUCCACCUGGGGAGUACGCCGGCAACGGUGAAACUCAAAGGAAUUGACGGGGGCCCGCACAAGCGGAGGAACAUGUGGUUUAAUUCGAUGAUACGCGAGGAACCCUACCCGGGCUUAAAUUGCAGAUGAAUUACGGUGAAAGCCGUAAGCCGCAAGGCAUCUGUGAAGGUGCUGCAUGGUUGUCGUCAGCUCGUGCCGUGAGGUGUCGGCUUAAGUGCCAUAACGAGCGCAACCCUUGUUGUCAGUUACUAACAGGUUCCGCUGAGGACUCUGACAAGACUGCCAUCGUAAGAUGUGAGGAAGGUGGGGAUGACGUCAAAUCAGCACGGCCCUUACGUCCGGGGCUACACACGUGUUACAAUGGGGGGUACAGAGGGCCGCUACCACGCGAGUGGAUGCCAAUCCCCAAAACCUCUCUCAGUUCGGACUGGAGUCUGCAACCCGACUCCACGAAGCUGGAUUCGCUAGUAAUCGCGCAUCAGCCACGGCGCGGUGAAUACGUUCCCGGGCCUUGUACACACCGCC
rnacentral:rRNA from 1 species